rnacentral:rRNA from 1 species
GACGAACGCUGGCGGCGUGCCUAAUACAUGCAAGUUGAGCGCUGAAGGUUGGUACUUGUACCGACUGGAUGAGCAGCGAACGGGUGAGUAACGCGUGGGGAAUCUGCCUUUGAGCGGGGGACAACAUUUGGAAACGAAUGCUAAUACCGCAUAAAAACUUUAAACACAAGUUUUAAGUUUGAAAGAUGCAAUUGCAUCACUCAAAGAUGAUCCCGCGUUGUAUUAGCUAGUUGGUGAGGUAAAGGCUCACCAAGGCGAUGAUACAUAGCCGACCUGAGAGGGUGAUCGGCCACAUUGGGACUGAGACACGGCCCAAACUCCUACGGGAGGCAGCAGUAGGGAAUCUUCGGCAAUGGACGAAAGUCUGACCGAGCAACGCCGCGUGAGUGAAGAAGGUUUUCGGAUCGUAAAACUCUGUUGGUAGGGAAGAACGUUGGUGAGAGUGGAAAGCUCAUCAAGUGACGGUAACUACCCAGAAAGGGACGGCUAACUACGUG